rnacentral:lncRNA from 1 species
AUCGUACAUUGUGUAUCUGAAUUGCCAUUAAAUGUACACACUCUUGGUAAUUAUUCUUAAAUGCUACAUGAGUUGGAUAUUCACAUCAUGUGAACAUAAUCUUACACUUAUUAUAAGGAUCUAGACUUUUGAUGUGUGUAAUUUAAACAUUUUCAGGUCGGCAACUAAAUAAUCAACAUAUCUUAUUUAACAUUAAAGAGUUUUUAAACUUAAUAAGGAGUGCAAUUAGCUUUCUAUAUGAACACGCGAAUAGAAGCGACUUUCUAGGACAAUUGAAGCGUGUAUACAUAAGCAAAUGAACAAUAGUGUUUUACCUUGGAAUGAUGGCAAUGAAUUGCAUUGUGAUACCACAUUGAUUUAGAACUCUAAACGGCAUGAAAUUACAUUUGAUAAUUGCUUUCAGGUUUUUUUCUUUUUUUAUUGAAUUACAAUUAAUGAAAAAUUAUUAUGGAGAUGAAAAAAAGGGACUACUUUAUACGUCUGGAUCAUUAUGUGAGCUACUUUAUCACACAGAAGAAACACUAAGGUCAAAAGAAGUUUCUAUACUUGACAAAUACGCAAUUGAGAAAUUGACAUAUCUUUGCCAGCUUACCUUGGAAAACAGCAUCAAUAUACAGCAUUGUUUGAGCACUUCCACAGGCACUGAAGCCCAUUGCAACUGUCUCCUACAUCUUAUAUUGAAGAAAUACUUGUCACUGCGACUGAAGAAGAUACUCAAAGACAAACAUAGUAAGUCAAGCAAAUCUAGUGGUAAUUUCAUUCAUCGUCAGAGGAUAUUUCAAGCUUUGAAUCAAGAUUAAAUGGACUCUUCCUCAAAAAUAAUUGACCCCAAUUUUUUCUCAAAAGAGGAUAAGAUCGGAAUUAAUAGUAAGAUGCAUGAUGAGAACUUGGGCCGCACACCUUUUUUAUAAAUUAUCUAGCAUUGGAAAUAUAGACUCCUAGGAUUCCUUAACAACACAAUCAUAUUUUUAGAUUAAUCAUAGAGCUCAAUUUAAAGCAAAAAAAUUACAGAAUAUGACAUAUAAUUAACAUAGUAAACACCUUUCCAGCAAAAAUAUAAAAAAAUCGACAUAACUUACAAUAUUGAUUCACAUGUUUUGGCCAUCUUUCUCCCUCCCAACAAAAUGUGCUUUUGAGGAUAUAAAAUCACAACACGAUUAUUUAAAAGGGUAUAUAUCCUCAAAAAGUCAAAAUUAUAUUCAUAACCAUGAAAAACAUAGUUUCCUCGAAGUACAUUAAUUAUAAUCGGGUGAAAAAUAAAGGAAAUUGCAUUUCCUAUUAUGUAAAAAUAUAGUUAGAAAAUUAUUGAUAUAAAAUGUCGAAUGCACAUUUUUUAUUCGAUAUCAAAUUAAAAAAUGUACCAAAUGUUAUUUCAUUUAUAUAAGAGAGCGGUUCUCAAACUAAGGCGAUGAUAAAGAUUUAGGAGACCAUUUUAUUUUAUUAUGAUUUUUUUUUUUUGAAGGCGGAAUUAUCUUAGGAAGCAAACCUAGGGAAGGCAUACGAAAUUUGUUUAUUAAAUGGUGCUGUCCCUAAGUUAUUAAGAAACAUGGGAUGAAUGAACAGAAAUUACCCAGUUAUAUUUAAUCAUCAAUCAUAUCCUCAGCUUCCAAUCUUCUUCCAGUAGCAAAAUUGAAUUUGUCCUCGAAAA